ACACGGCCAUAGAGCGACUCACUAAAGAGUGUGCUGCAACAAUGCAGGCGCUACUUCCAGAGGCACAGCCACAGUCGCCACCUAGAGAAGGUCUUUCAAGUCAGCAGGAAGAUGGUGGUCUCUGGGCCCUGCUGGACAGGCAUGUGGGGGUUCAACAGCAGGUGACCAGCACAACUGCCAGUGCAACAGUGGAGGUUCAGAGGUACUUAAAGGAACCUCACAUCCCAAGGACUCAGGACCCACUGAGAUACUGGGUUACCCACAAGGUUUUAUACCCACAUCUCUACAAGCUGGCAAUGAAGUUUUUAUGCACACCAGCUUCAUCUGUGCCUUGUGAGAGGAUCUUCUCCAAGGCUGGCGAAAUCGUCAGCCAAAGACGAAACAGGCUGAAGCCCAGCACAGUGGAGAAAAUUCUGUUUUUAAAUAAAAAUCUAUAACAUGUA